AGGGUACCAAACUUCCUUCGCCCCUGUCCUGAACUUUGUGCGCAAAGAGGUCAAGAAACAAGCUGACGAGUCCAAAGAUAUUCUAGAUAACACACCUGGAGGAAAAAAGGGAGAAUCUGCACUUCGUCUAUUCAUAAAGGAACAGGGCAAGAAGUUACGGCGCCUAUCCAACAUUUUAGGUUGCCGUGACCCUGAAUAUGUUUCACCUUCGAGAUCCGGUUCAUCCGAAAGAAAUACUCUUGACGAUUCAGCUUCUUCGGGCGCUCGUAUGGAUGAUGGUGACAUUACCCAGAGAAAUACUCAGGAGGAUGAUGUUGACACUCCUCAGGCUGCGGACGACAUGACGUUGAAGGCUUUCCAACGCUCC